rnacentral:rRNA from 1 species
GAUGAACGCUGGCGGCGUGCCUAAUACAUGCAAGUCGAGCGAACGGACGAGAAGCUUGCUUCUCUGAUGUUAGCGGCGGACGGGUGAGUAGCACGUGGAUAACCUACCUAUAAGACUGGGAUAACUUCGGGAAACCGUAGCUAAUACCGGAUAAUAUUUUGAACCGCAUGGUUCAAAAGUGAAAGACGGUCUUGCUGUCACUUAUAGAUGGAUCCGCGCUGCAUUAGCUAGUUGGUAAGGUAACGGCUUACCAAGGCAACGAUGCAUAGCCGACCUGAGAGGGUGAUCGGCCACACUGGAACUGAGACACGGUCCAGACUCCUACGGGAGGCAGCAGUAGGGAAUCUUCCGCAAUGGGCGAAAGCCUGACGGAGCAACGACGCGUGAGUGAUGAAGGUCUUCGGAUCGUAAAACUCUGUUAUUAGGGAAGAACAUAUGUGUAAGUAACUGUGCACAUCUUGACGGUACCUAAUCAGAAAGCCACGGCUAACUACGUG